rnacentral:tRNA from 1 species
GCCUCAAUAGCUCAGUUGGCAGAGCGUUGCUUUCGUAAAGCAAAGGUCGGGAGUUCAAUCCUCUCUUGAGGCU